CUUUGUUAUUGAGAAAUAUAGAUAAAACAUACUGAUCUUUCCUGUAACUAGUUUUGGGGCUAUCUGACUGACAGCCAAGGGAGGUGGGGCAAGGGAAAAAAUUAAGAAGCCAAAUAUCAGCUGAAAUAAAACUAGUUAAUUCAAGGAUCUAUGCACCAUAACCACUUCAGUUAGCUGACCUUUUAAUAUCACAUCAACUCAUUCUAUUUUAUUAAUGUAUUACUUAAUUUCUUUCUGGAUAUAUAUUGGUUGCUUAAUGUGCCAUUUUCAUUA